UGGGACUACUGGGGUUUCUAAUCCUGUUUGAUACCCACACUUUCGUGCCUCAGCGUCAGUUGAGACUUAGUAACUUGCCUACGCAAUUGGUGUUCUGGAUAAUAUCUAUGCAUUUCACCGCUACACUAUCCAUUCCAGCUACCUCAAUCUCACUCAAGUCUACCAGUAUCAAUGGCACUGCAAUCGUUGAGCGACCGUCUUUCACCACUGACUUAAUAAACCGCCUACGCACCCUUUAAACCCAAUAAAUCCGGACAACGCUUGCACCCUCCGUAUUACCGCGGCUGCUGGCAC
rnacentral:misc_RNA from 1 species